rnacentral:rRNA from 1 species
UACAGAGGUCUCAACCGUUGUUCGGAUUCAUUGGGCGUAAAGGGUGCGUAGGCGGUCGUGCAAGUCGGAUGUGAAAUCUCAGGGCUCAACCCUGAAACUGCAUUCGAUACUGCGCGGCUAGAGUGCUGGAGGGGAGACUGGAAUUUACGGUGUAGCAGUGAAAUGCGUAGAUAUCGGGAGGAACACCAGUGGCGAAGGCGACUACCUGGCCUGUUCUUGACGCUGAGGCGCGAAAGCUAGGGGAGCAAACGGG